UACGAAGGGGGCUAGCGUUGUUCGGAAUCACUGGGCGUAAAGGGCGCGUAGGCGGCUUUAUAAGUCGGGGGUGAAAGCCUGUGGCUCAACCACAGAAUUGCCUUUGAUACUGUAGAGCUUGAGACCGGAAGAGGUAAGUGGAACUGCGAGUGUAGAGGUGAAAUUCGUAGAUAUUCGCAAGAACACCAGUGGCGAAGGCGGCUUACUGGUCCGGUUCUGACGCUGAGGCGCGAAAGCGUGGGGAGCAAACAGG
rnacentral:rRNA from 1 species